rnacentral:rRNA from 14 species
CUCCACAGCCACACCACCCUGAGUGUGCCCAAUCUUGUCUGAUCUCGGAAGCUAGGAAGGUUGGGCCUAGUUAGUACUCCGACGGGAGAAGGAGAUCAGUCAGCCUUGAGU